rnacentral:lncRNA from 1 species
AGCCAGGGGCAAGCCAGGAUGCCCUGUGGUUGUGGCGCCCCAGGCCAUCCCAAACCCAGUGGCAGAGGAAGCUGCUCCAAUGGAUGGGGGAGAAGCCUGGGGAGGAGGGGGAGGAAGACAAGAAGGAAGAGGAGGAGGAGAAGGAAGACGAGGAGCUGGACUGGGCCUUGGCUUCCCUGAGCCCGCACUCCAACCAGCAGCUGGAUUCCUGGGAACUGGAGGAUCAGAGUGCUGUGGACUGGACCCAGGAGCCCCGGCGGCGCAGCUGCAAGGUUGCCAGGACCCACCCUCAUCCCUGGCACCGUCAUGGGAGUUUGCUCUUGGAUGAGCAUUACGGGCAUCUGCCCAAGUUUCUGCAUUUCUUCAUCUACCAGACCUGGUUCAAAAAGUUGUUCCCCAUCUUCAGCCUGCAGGUUGGAGGGAACUGGGGAUGCAUGAGAAGCAUGGGUUAGGGUGAGGGACAGGGGAGAAGGUAGGGGCUGGCUUGGGUGUGACAUGGGAGCAGGGCCUCAGCAUGCUACCCUGCAGGCAUACCCGGAGGCGGGCACGAUCGAGGGCCUGGCCUCGCUGUUGGUGGCCCUGCUGGAGAAGACCACGUGGGUCGACCGUGUGCACAUCCUGCAGGUGCUACUGAGACUGCUGCCCAACAUGAGCAGUGAUCUCCAAGGCCAGCUGCAGGGCCUGCUCGUACACUUGCUCAACCUGGACCAGCCCCCCAGCCUCCAGGUGUGCCCCUUGUCCUGCCCCCAGUUUUCCUCCCCGCCCACCGGCCCUCAGCAACCACAUCCCCACCGCCUGCCUCAGGACCAGACACAGAAGAAGUUCGUGAUACUGGCGCUGCAGCUGCUCCUGGCCUGCUCCCUGGAGUCCCGGGAUGUGGUGCUGGAGCUCAUGUCCUACUUCCUCUACUCUCCCGUGCACUGCCG